GGGAGAAAACUUUGGCCCUGCAGUUCGGCUGGCUGUAAGUAUUACAGCAAGCUUGCUAUUCGAAAGGCGCUUGGUGUUAUAUCUUACAGUGAGCUGAGUCGUGGCAGAAUGCAACCCUUUUUC
rnacentral:precursor_RNA from 11 species